rnacentral:rRNA from 1 species
GAUGAACGCUAGCGGCAGGCUUAACACAUGCAAGUCGAGGGGUAGAAGCAGCUUGCUGCUUUGAGACCGGCGCACGGGUGCGUAACGCGUAUACAAUCUACCUUUUACAGAGGGAUAGCCCAGAGAAAUUUGGAUUAAUACCUCAUAGUAUGUGAGAAUCGCAUGGUUUUCACAUUAAAGUUCCAACGGUAAAAGAUGAGCAUGCGUCCCAUUAGCUAGAUGGUAAGGUAACGGCUUACCAUGGCGACGAUGGGUAGGGGUCCUGAGAGGGAGAUCCCCCACACUGGUACUGAGACACGGACCAGACUCCUACGGGAGGCAGCAGUGAGGAAUAUUGGGCAAUGGGCGCUAGCCUGACCCCAGCCAUGCCGCGUGCAGGAAGACGGUCCUAUGGAUUGUAAACUGCUUUUGUACGGGAAGAAACCCUAUUACGUGUAAUAGAUUGACGUACGUACGAAUAAGGAUCGGCU